AGAGUUUGAUCAUGGCUCAGGACGAACGCUGGCGGCGUGCUUAACACAUGCAAGUCGAACGGAAAGGCCCUUCGGGGUACUCGAGUGGCGAACGGGUGAGUAACACGUGGGUGAUCUGCCCUGCACUUUGGGAUAAGCCUGGGAAACUGGGUCUAAUACCGAAUAUGACCAUGCACUUCCUGGUGUGUGGUGGAAAGCUUUUGCGGUGUGGGACGGGCCCGCGGCCUAUCAGCUUGUUGGUGGGGUAAUGGCCUACCAAGGCGACGACGGGUAGCCGGCCUGAGAGGGUGACCGGCCACACUGGGACUGAGAUACGGCCCAGACUCCUACGGGAGGCAGCAGUGGGGAAUAUUGCACAAUGGGCGCAAGCCUGAUGCAGCGACGCCGCGUGAGGGAUGACGGCCUUCGGGUUGUAAACCUCUUUCAGCACAGACGAAGCGCAAGUGACGGUAUGUGCAGAAGAAGGACCGGCCAACUACGUGCCAGCAGCCGCGGUAAUACGUAGGGUCCGAGCGUUGUCCGGAAUUACUGGGCGUAAAGAGCUCGUAGGUGGUUUGUCGCGUUGUUCGUGAAAACUCACAGCUUAACUGUGGGCGUGCGGGCGAUACGGGCAGACUUGAGUACUGCAGGGGAGACUGGAAUUCCUGGUGUAGCGGUGGAAUGCGCAGAUAUCAGGAGGAACACCGGUGGCGAAGGCGGGUCUCUGGGCAGUAACUGACGCUGAGGAGCGAAAGCGUGGGGAGCGAACAGGAUUAGAUACCCCGGUAGUCC
rnacentral:rRNA from 1 species